AAAGUAAGUUUAUAUAUGUCACCGUAAAAUUGUAAAAACCGUUAGAUUAUUAUAUAACUAGUGAAAUUGUAAAAUGUUGAUAGACUUCGGACGCGAAUAAGCUGCCUAUAAUUUAUUAUUUUAACACAUUAUUUUACGUUAGAUUAUAAAUAUGUAUAUUAUGUAUAACAUGAAUCUUUCGACAUAUUUUUACAAUCUCGUCAGUUAUUUUACAAUUUAACGGUUUUUACAAUUGUAUGGUGACAUAUACACUUAAGACUAUUUAGGUGC